rnacentral:rRNA from 1 species
CAGCAGCAGCCGCGGUAAUACAGAGGGUGCGAGCGUUAAUCGGAUUUACUGGGCGUAAAGCGUGCGUAGGCGGCUUCUUAAGUCGGAUGUGAAAUCCCUGAGCUUAACUUAGGAAUUGCAUUCGAUACUGGGAAGCUAGAGUAUGGGAGAGGAUGGUAGAAUUCCAGGUGUAGCGGUGAAAUGCGUAGAGAUCUGGAGGAAUACCGAUGGCGAAGGCAGCCAUCUGGCCUAAUACUGACGCUGAGGUACGAAAGCAUGGGGAGCAAACAGGAUUAGAUACCCGAGUAGUCCCUGUCUCUUAUAC